rnacentral:rRNA from 1 species
CCUACGGGAGGCAGCAGUGGGGAAUAUUGGACAAUGGGCGAAAGCCUGAUCCAGCCAUGCCGCGUGUGUGAAGAAGGCCUUCGGGUUGUAAAGCACUUUCAGUGGGGAAGAAAGCCUUGGGGCUAAUACCCUCGAGGAAGGACAUCACCCACAGAAGAAGCACCGGCUAACUCCGUGUCAGCAGCCGCGGUAAUACGGAGGGUGCGAGCGUUAAUCGGAAUUACUGGGCGUAAAGCGCGCGUAGGCGGUCUGAUAAGCCGGUUGUGAAAGCCCCGGGCUCAACCUGGGAACGGCAUCCGGAACUGUCAGGCUAGAGGGCAGGAGAGGAAGGUAGAAUUCCCGGUGUAGCGGUGAAAUGCGUAGAGAUCGGGAGGAAUACCAGUGGCGAAGGCGGCCUUCUGGACUGACACUGACGCUGGGGUGCGAAAGCGUGGGUAGCAAACAGGAUUAGAUACCUGGUAGUC